AGAGUUUUGAUCCUGGCUCAGGAUGAACGCUGGCGGCGUGCUUAACACAUGCAAGUCGAACGGACCCAUAUUGAAACCUAGUGAUAUAUGGGUUAGUGGCGGACGGGUGAGUAACGCGUGGGUAACCUGCCUUACACAGGGGGAUAACACUUAGAAAUAGGUGCUAAAACCGCAUAAGCGCACAGCUUCGCAUGAAGCGGUGUGAAAAACUCCGGUGGUGUAAGAUGGACCCGCGUCUGAUUAGCUUGUUGGCGGGGUAACGGCCCACCAAGGCGACGAUCAGUAGCCGGCCUGAGAGGGCGGACGGCCACAUUAGGACUGAGACACGGCCCAGACUCCUACGGGAGGCAGCAGUGGGGAAUAUUGCACAAUGGGGGAAACCCUGAUGCAGCGACGCCGCGUGAGUGAAGAAGUAAUUCGUUACGUAAAGCUCUAUCAGCAGGGAAGAAAAUGACGGUACCUGAGUAAGAAGCCCCGGCUAACUACGUG
rnacentral:rRNA from 1 species